rnacentral:rRNA from 1 species
GAUGAACGCUGGCGGCGUGCCUAAUACAUGCAAGUCGAGCGAACAGAUGAGGAGCUUGCUCCUCUGACGUUAGCGGCGGACGGGUGAGUAACACGUGGAUAACCUACCUAUAAGACUGGGAUAACUUCGGGAAACCUGAGCUAAUACCGGAUAAUAUAUUGAACCGCAUGGUUCAAUAGUGAAAGACGGUUUUGCUGUCACUUAUAGAUGGAUCCGCGCCGCAUUAGCUAGUUGGUAAGGUAACGGCUUACCAAGGCAACGAUGCGUAGCCGACCUGAGAGGGUGAUAGGCCACACGGGAACUGAGACACGGUCAAGACUCCUACGGGAGGCAGCAGUAGGGAAUAUUCCGCAAGGGGCGAAAGCAUGACGGAGAAAAGCCGCGUGAGUGAUGAAGGACUUAGGAGCGUAAAACUCUGUUAUUAGGGAAGAAAAAAUGUGUAAGUAAAUAUGCACGUAUUGACGGUACCUAAUCAGAAAGCAACGGCUAACUACGUG